rnacentral:lncRNA from 1 species
CUUUUUUUAAAGUACUUUUAAGAAAAAAAGCAGGGCCUUGGAAGUUUUGGUUCUUUUUUCCUCCCCUGUUGCAAAUUCUUACGGUUUAGGUUGGGUGGUGGAGAGUGUGUGUCAUCUGUGGGUGGCACUGCCCAUGGUGGGGGGGCGGGCCUCAAUACUGGAAGGUGACUACGUUUAGAUUCUGAGACAGGAAAUGGAGGGUGAAUAGGUCAUGGCGGCCUUUUUUUUUUAGUUUAACUUUUCCUUUUUUGCUGUCUAGUCAUCCUUGUCGGUCUUCUGCUUCUUGGUAUCGACAUCAUCAUCCUCAUCAUCUUCAGCUGCCCGCUUGCCUGUAGCAGACUCAGC